rnacentral:rRNA from 1 species
GCAAAAUUGAGGCGGGCUGGAACCUCUCGGGGUUACAGCCUUGCUGAAUUAUUCACCCUUGUCUUUUGCGUACUUCUUGUUUCCUUGGUGGGUUCGCCCACCACUAGGACAAACAUAAACCUUUUGUAAUUGCAAUCAGCGUCAGUAACAAAUUAAUAAUUACAACUUUCAACAACGGAUCUCUUGGUUCUGGCAUCGAUGAAGAACGCAGCGAAAUGCGAUAAGUAGUGUGAAUUGCAGAAUUCAGUGAAUCAUCGAAUCUUUGAACGCACAUUGCGCCCUUUGGUAUUCCAAAGGGCAUGCCUGUUCGAGCGUCAUUUGUACCCUCAAGCUUUGCUUGGUGUUGGGCGUCUUGUCUCUAGCUUUGCUGGAGACUCGCCUUAAAGUAAUUGGCAGCCGGCCUACUGGUUUCGGAGCGCAGCACAAGUCGCACUCUCUAUCAGCAAAGGUCUAGCAUCCAUUAAGCCUUUUUUUCAACUUUUGACCUCGGAUCAGGUAGGGAUACCCGCUGAACUUAAGCAUAUCAAUAAGGCGGGAGGAA